rnacentral:rRNA from 1 species
AACGAACGCUGGCGGCACGCUUAACACAUGCAAGUCGAACGAGUAGCAAUACAAGUGGCGCACGGGUGAGUAAUACAUAGGAAUCUACCUAGAAGAUAGGGAUAACUAUUGGAAACGAUAGCUAAUACCUAAUAAGCUCGGAAGAGGAAAGUAGCAAUACGCUUUUAGAUGAGCCUAUGGCUGAUUAGCUAGUUGGUAGGGUAAAGGCCUACCAAGGCAAUGAUCAGUAGCUGUUCUUAGAGGAAGACCAGCCACACUGGAACUGAGACACGGCCCAGACUCCUACGGGAGGCAGCAGUGGGGAAUAUUGGACAAUGGGCGCAAGCCUGAUCCAGCCAUGCCGCGUGAGUGAUGAAGGCCUUAGGGUUGUAAAGCUCUUUCACCGAUGAAGAUAAUGACGGUAGUCGGAGAAGAAGCCCCGGCUAACUUCGUGCCAGCAGCCGCCGUAA